rnacentral:lncRNA from 1 species
CUCAAACUCCGUUUUUUGCCUUUUGGUGUGACCAGAUGCCUGGAGGGUGUGGAGAUGGGUAUUUCCCUUUCCUCAGGUAGAUUAGGCUCCGGUAAAACUUCAGAGGUGAGAUUCUGCCUGAAUAAUUUCUCCUAAGGACAGAUCUUGUUAACAAGAACGGAAUGCUCUGGUAUAUUUCAAGAUGGUUCUUCUCUCCUCCUACCCCAUGUCCCCUUUGACUAGAAGCAAGAUGGGUUUUUUAACUCUGAUAUUCACUGUGAGAUAAAGCUCCUGGAGGUGAAACUUACAAAAAAAGUGGGGUCACUGUGACUGGGUCCACCGGAAGAUUUUAACUCUCAAGAAUUGCCUACACUGAGCUUCAAGCAAUUUGUCAAUUACAGUUCAGGUUUUCCUACCCAGCACUGGUUCCGGAGGAGGUUGCAAGUUGUCUGAGUUUCUGCUCUAAUGUGGCAUCUUAUUUUCUUCAGCAUCCACCUGUCUAUCUUGAUUUGUCCAGGCUUUCCUAAUGCAUUAGUGCUUCAGUCCGUUCUCCAGGUUGAGAUAGCAAUCCCUCAUAUCACUUUGGAAUAAGUUGCUUUGUACGUUUCAUGAAGAAAGAAGCUCUGCUUGUCUCAUUUAUUGCUGCAUCUUCCUUGCAGGACUGGUAUGCAUGGCCACGCAUUGUUAAACAUUCCACACUCACAAUGAGGUUGGUGUGACAGCUGGGGACCAGGCGGAGAUCCGUACUGUGGUGGCACUCAUGCACCUGUUGUUGGUAGUGAACUUCUGGCUGCCAUUCAGUCAGCAGCUGUUAACUACUAAGGUGCCAGGACAAAAUGAAAUGCAACCAAGAAGUCAUGCCCCAUCACAAAGUGCAAUUUGAGGAAAACAAGAAGGCAGAUGUUUUGCCAUUGAGCCAGAAUUAAGAAUGUUGAACCUGAUGCCUAGACUCAGCAUUACUAAGCAAAUUUUGUGACAUAUAUGCUCCAGAUGUGGAUCUGUGGUCAUUCCUCACCUCUGUCUCGUAGCAGUUGUGUCAAUUUGAUCUCAUCCUUCACCAUCCUAAAUCUCAGUUUACUUGCCUCUAAAAUGGAAAUGUACAACUUUGCAUACCUAUCACACACUAUCACCCCAGUGCCACAGGAGAAAUAAGCUAUUUUUGCUCAACUUUUUAUCUGCUUGACCCUCGACCCUGGCCAUUAUGUCUUGGUAAACUGCUUGGCAUUUUUCAACCCAUCUCAGAGUUUUCCCUUUGGAAACAUUUUUAGGCCCUAUUUGGCAGAAGUUGUUGCUCCUGUGUAUAUAAUACCAUAACCACUGUAACAGAAUGGGGAGGUAGAAUUGGAUAUUAACACAUCUUUGGAGAGCUUGUUGUGUGCUAGGUAUUGUGCAAAUGAUAUUCACACAUUUUCUCAAUUAAUACCAAAACUUUAAGUAGGUGAUGAUAUCUCCUAUUAUCCAAAUGAGAAAAUAGCCUCUGGUGGUUAAAGUGAUAGAGCUAGUGAUCAGGAGAGUUCACAUUACUCUUUAUUUCAGACGCCAGAGACUAUUCUCUUUACACUAAAUAGCAUUCAGUGUGUUGCUUCAUUCUUUUUUUACUCCAAAUUAAAUAUCCUUCUUGAUUUUUUUUAAGAUUUCAUAUAUAUGGCAUUCCUUUUUAAAUAGCUCAACUGAGAUAUAAUUUAUGUAACAUACAAUUCUCUAAAGUAUGCAUUUAAAGGUUUUUAUUACAUAUACAGAUAUGUGAAAAAUAACUACAGUCAUUUAAAGAACAUUUUCAUCAAGUCAAAAAGAACUUUUUAGCUAUCACCUUUUAGUUAUCAAUCUUCUCCCAGACUGAUAUGGUUUGGCUGUAUCGCCACCCAAAAUCUCAUCUUGAAUUGUAAUAAUUCCCAUGUGUCAAGGGCAGGACCAGGUGGAGAUAAUUGAAUCAUGGGGGUGGUUUCCAGUUUCCCCAUACUAUUCUCAUGAUAGUGAGUGAGUUCUCAUGAAAUCUGAUAGUUUAAUAGGGACUUUCCCUCCACUUCACUCUCAUUCUUCUCCUUGCUGCCACCUUGUGAAGGACGUGUUUGCUUCCCCUUCUCCCGUGGCUGUGUUUCCUGAGGCCUUCCCAGCCAUGCUGAACUGUGAGUCAAUUAAACUUCUUUCCUUUAUAAAUCACCCAGCCUUCGGUAUGUCUUUAUUAGCAGGAUGAAAACGGACUACUACACAGAUCUGAGUAACCACUAAUCAAUUUUUUAUGUUUGUAGAUUUCCCUCUUCUGGAAAUUCAUAUGAAUGAAAUUAUAUAAUAGAUUAUAUCAUAUGUGGACUUUUCUGACUGGCUUCUUUUACUUAGCAUAAUGUUUUCAGGGUUCAUCCAAGUUGCAGCACGUGUAAGUACUCCAUUCCUUUCAAUGCCUGAAUACGACUUCAUUUUACUGAUGUACCUCAUUUUGUUUACACAUUCAUCAGUUGAUGGGCAUCUGGCCUCUUUCUAGCUUUUGGUUAUUAUGAAUAAUGCUCCUAUAAACAUUAAUAUGCAAGUUUUUGUGUAUACAUAUGUUUUCAUUUCUUUUUGGUAUAUACCUAGGAAUUAAACUGUUGGGUCAUAAGGUAACUUUGUUUAGUCAUUUGAAGAACUCCCAGACUAUUUUCUAGUGUAUGCACCAUUUUACAUUCCCCCCAGCAGUUCUGAUUUCUCCACAUUGUUGCCAACACUUGUUAUUAUCUGACUUUUUAAUCCUAGCCAUCCUAAUGGGUUUGAAAAGUUACCUCAUUGUGGUUUUAAUUUUCAUUUCCCUGAUGACUAAUGAUGUUGAAGUUCUUUUCUUGUGCUUAUUGACCAUUCAUACAUCUACUUGGAGAAAUGUUUAUUCAUAUUCUUUAUCCAGUUUUAAGUUGGAUUAUUUGUCCUUUCAUUUUUCUUGAUAAUUAUUUUAAAUCAGAAAAUUUUUUAAUUUUUAUUGUUAAAGUAUUCAUCUCUUUGGCUCUACACUUUCCUCUUUCCCUAUAUUGAUAAAAGAAACUCAUGAAGUUCAGUGCUGGCACAUUACUGACAAGUGGAUUCUCAUAAAGUUUCUUUGUAUAAUUUUAUAUAUUUUUUACAAUUUUAUUAAACUGAACUAGACAAAUUUUCAUGGUUGCUGGGAGGAUCCUGUAGGAUAAUUUAGGUCAAUGAGGUUUGGGGCAACUAAAGUGCUAUGCAAACACCUAGGGCCACAUGUUAUCUUCUAAGUUCACCGGAAUAAAGAGGAUUUCCAAGGGUCUGAGGUGAUGCAUGAAGAGGGCUUUCAUUUUUUAAUUUUAAUUUUGUCGCUUUGCUAGAAGUUUUAUUAUGAAAUAGUGUUGAAUAAUAUCAGUCUGUUUCUGCAUCUAUGAAGAUGGUUCUAUUUAUUUCUCCUUUAAUCUGUUAAUGUGGUGAAUUCAACUGAUUGCUUUUCUUUUUUUAUUAUUAUUAUAAUAAGUUUUAGGGUACAUGUGCACAAUGUGCAGGUUAGUUACAUAUGUAUACAUGUGCCAUGCUGGUGUGCUGCACCUAUUAACUCAUCAUUUAGCAUUAGGUAUAUCUCCUUAUGCUAUCCCUCUCUCCUCCCCCCACUCCACAACAGUCCCCAGAGUGUGAUGUUCCCCUUCCUGUGUCCAUGUGUUCUCAUUGUUCAAUUCCCACCUAUGAGUGAGAACAU